rnacentral:rRNA from 1 species
UGCCUACGGGGGGCAGCAGUGGGGAAUAUUGCACAAUGGGGGAAACCCUGAUGCAGCGACGCCGCGUGAAGGAAGAAGUAUUUCGGUAUGUAAACUUCUAUCAGCAGGGAAGAAAAUGACGGUACCUGACUAAGAAGCCCCGGCUAACUACAUGCCAGCAGCCGCGGUAAUACGUAGGGGGCAAGCGUUAUCCGGAUUUACUGGGUGUAAAGGGAGCGUAGGCGGCGAUGCAAGUCAGAAGUGAAAGCCCGGGGCUCAACUCCGGGACUGCUUUUGAAACUGUAUGGCUAGAUUGCAGGAGAGGC